CAAAUCUAAAUUUAAUAUUUCAGCCAAAACCCUAUUUCCCCAAAUUCGGCGCCGUCUUUUUCCCCGAUUUCCCUCCGCCCCCCUCUCUCUCUCCGUAUCUUUUUUCUUCUUGAUUUUCUAUUCCAAUUUCAUCUGUGCGGCUGACAGAGGCAAACGGCUGAAGGAGGCAAAGGCUGACAGAGGCAAACGGCUGAAAUCUUACGGAAGCCUAUCAAAAACGUUUCAAGGAAUGGCGUCAAAGUUAACCUGAUACCGAGGAUGGUAGCUCAACCCAAGUGUCACUCAAUGAUGUAGCUUCAAUAUGGACGCAGGUGGUUGGUGGCGCAAAGAAAGGUAGAACUUACGGUCUUGGAUAACAACAUUCCGUAGGUCGUUCUACGACAUUGUUGUCUGGUGAUGCUAGUUAUUCGCAGAAUCACGAAGAGGUGGAAGCAUUACGAAAAGAAGUUGAAGAGUUGAAGGAGGAACGGAAAGAAGAUCGCGCAAAUUUUAACAAAUUGCAGAGUCUAGUGGAGAAAUUUAUGAGCAAAUGUCCAUUGGAUCCUUUGAAUGAAGAGGAUGACAGAGAUGAUGAGUUUUAGUUUGUUGUGGUUGUGAUGUUUGAGACAUUAUUUUUUGUUGUGGUUGGAUGUUUAGACUUAGUAAUGUUUAAACUUGACUAUGAUUGUAAUGUUUUAGACUAGAUUGAAUGGUGCUUCAAUGUUUAACUUGUGUUUGGAUGUUUUAGUUACAAAUAUUUAUGUUU